rnacentral:rRNA from 1 species
GAUGAACGCUGGCGGCGUGCCUAAUACAUGCAAGUCGAGCGAAUGGAUUAAGAGCUUGCUCUUAUGAAGUUAGCGGCGGACGGGUGAGUAACACGUGGGUAACCUGCCCAUAAGACUAGGAUAACUCCGGGAAGCCGGGGCUAAUACCGGAUAACAUUUUGAACCGCAUGGUUCGAAAUUGAAAGGCGGCUUCGGCUGUCACUUAUGGAUGGACCCGCGUCGCAGUAGCUAGUUGGUGAGGUAACGGCUCACCAAGGCAACGAUGCGUAGCCGACCUGAGAGGGUGAUCGGCCACACUGGGACUGAGACACGGCCCAGACUCCUACGGGAGGCAGCAGUAGGGAAUCUUCCGCAAUGGACGAAAGUCUGACGGAGCAACGCCGCGUGAGUGAUGAAGGCUUUCGGGUCGUAAAACUCUGUUGUUAGGGAAGAACAAGUGCUAGUUGAAUAAGCUGGCACCUUGACGGUACCUAACCAGAAAGCCACGGCUAACUACGUGCCAGCAGCCGCCGUAA